rnacentral:rRNA from 1 species
CCUACGGGGUGCAGCAGUGGGGGAUAUUGCACAAUGGGGGAAACCCUGAUGCAGCGACGCCGCGUGGGUGAAGAAGCGCCUCGGCGCGUAAAGCCCUGUCAGCAGGGGAGAAAAUGACGGUACCUGAAGAAGAAGCCCCGGCUAACGACGUGCCAGCAGCCGCGGUAAUACGUAGGGGGCAAGCGUUAUCCGGAUUUACUGGGUGUAAAGGGGGCGCAGACGGGGAUGCAAGCCAGGAGUGAAAGCCCGGGGCCCAACCCCGGGACUGCUGUUGGAACUGCGUGGCUAGAGUGCAGGAGGGGCAGGCGGAAUGCCUGGUGUAGCGGUGAAAUGCGUAGAUAUCAGGAGGAACACCGGUGGCGAAGGCGGCCUGCUGGACUGCAACUGACGUUGAGGCCCGAAAGCGUGGGGAGCAAACAGGAUUAGAUACCCUUGUAGUC